rnacentral:sRNA from 1 species
AGUAAGGGGACAUGCACCCCAAGGGCCUCCACUUGGCCUGACCUUGCUGCGGGGGCUCUCUGUCCCCAGGAACAGUAGAGAUGGCAAGCUUAUCGAGACCCUCUCUGCCCAGCUGCCUCUGCUCCUUCCUCCUCCUCCUCCUCCUCCAAGUGUCUUCCAGCUAUGCAGGGCAGUUCAGAGUGAUAGGACCAAGACACCCUAUCCGGGCUCUGGUCGGGGAUGAAGUGGAAUUGCCAUGUCGCAUAUCUCCUGGGAAGAACGCUACAGGCAUGGAGGUGGGGUGGUACCGCCCCCCCUUCUCUAGGGUGGUUCAUCUCUACAGAAAUGGCAAGGACCAAGAUGGAGACCAGGCACCUGAAUAUCGGGGCCGGACAGAGCUGCUGAAAGAUGCUAUUGGUGAGGGAAAGGUGACUCUCAGGAUCCGGAAUGUAAGGUUCUCAGAUGAAGGAGGUUUCACCUGCUUCUUCCGAGAUCAUUCUUAUCAAGAGGAGGCAGCAAUGGAAUUGAAAGUAGAAGGUGAGUAGUGCCAUAUAAUAUUAGGUAUUAACUGUUGGGUGGCCAAGAACAAUUAUUCUCUCAACUGAGAUGAGAUCCCUCAACCCAAACAUCUCAGUCCUGGGAAUGAUUUCCAUAAAAAUGUACACAUCAAUAAACAGAAACUCAUGCUUAGGGAUGUCUGUUGCAUCAUUAUUCAGAGUAGCAAGGAAAUUGGGAUCAAAAUCAAUGCCUUUGAGUAGGUAAGUGAAUGAAUGAACAAUGGUAGCCAUACUGUGA